AAUACAAACCGUAUUGCAGAGAUGUAGAUUCUCAAACCUAACAUGGUAUCUGACUAUUUCUAAAAUUCUUUACCAAUUUCUUCUGUUGCUGCCGUUCUUCAUCAUCUUCAAUUAGGGUUUAUGAAGUUUGAUUUCAAGAUUCAAGGAGUAUGUAUGGAGAGUUGCUACUGGUGAUUUCUUAGUACGAAUUAGGGUUUGAUUCUGAUGCUUUACUGCUGCGUCUUCAAACUGAAUCAAGCAUAAUUCUCAGAUUUGAAAUUCGGUUUAAAUCACUUGAGCUCUUGGGAAUAUAGGUUUUCAAUUUCGUUUUGAGAUGGAACUUGAUUCUUCUACCUCAACUGCUUAAAUUGAAUCAACGUUGGUAAUCUCGAAUCUCAUCUUUUGCUUACUUCAAAUUUGAUUUUAUGUGUCCGAUUUCUACAUCACUAUCUCCACAACAUUCAAUUUUGUCUUCAAAUUCUGUUUUCAUCAUAAUUGGGUUUGAAUUUGACCUAGUUCUUUUAUCAAAUCCUACUAGUACUGAUUCCUGAAUCUAUAUGAUAUGAGCAUGCCUAUUUCUGCUACAACAGUUAGCUAGGGAGAAGCUUAAUUUUGUUCCAUUGUGUAGUGAAGAACAAUUCUUCUUAAAUUCAGUAGAACAUUGAGGUACGUGUGUGUGUUGAUUGUUUGAUGCACCACUGUGUGCUUAAUCUUGCUUCGAUUAGCUCCUCCUCUCAAUGUUACUUUAGUACAGUCCUCAUAGUAGAGUGGUAUGUGAGUGAGCUGGUUUGUGUGCAUAAUGAUGAAACUGAGGAUGAUGCUCUGGGAUUGAAUUUGGUGAGGGUACUGGUAUACAGAUUGGAGUUCUCUUUGAUGAGUCUACAUUCAAUUCUAAUGUAGCCUGGUUUAGUUAUCUUUAAUUUCCUGUUCUUUAGUUUGUGUGAUUGAAUAAUACAAGGUCCAACUGAGCUCAUUCUGUGACCACACCAAUAAAAUAAGUGAAAUAAUUGAGUCAAGUUACUCUUUGAUACUUGCUUUUGGAUUGACAUAUUGAGUAUUGCAGCUGAGAAUGGUAAUUGGGGUUGGUGCUUUUACAUGUUGGAACAGUUGGCUGUUAAAUCCGCUUCCUUGAAUGUCAUAUUCUGAGUGUGUAAGUUCUUGUUGUUGCUCGUGCUGCUGUUACAUCUAUUUGAUGGUGAUUGAAGCUAGAUCAGGUGCAUUAUUUCAUGGGAUGGUGAACCUCUAAUUGGGUUUUGAUAAAUUUUAUUACUCUUUGUUAUGUGGAUGGAGUUGUGUGCUGUUGUCAGUUUAUAAUACUACAUGUCAGAAUUGUGCAGCUCCUCUACUGUUGGUUGGCAUUGAACUUCAGUUCUGGUCCCUAUCUCCCUGCAUCAACUAUAUCUGAUCCUGUUAGUGAUAUUCCUGCAACAACUUCAGCUGUGAGAAAAAUGUACAUGUUGUUGCGAUGUCAAGCAGUUCAUUACUAAUACUUCUACAUUCGUACCCUUCCUACUUCUACUGCAUCACUUACUUUCACAACAUCUGGGAGUUCAGCUUGUCAACAUUUUUCGAUAAUUCAGUUGUUCGGGUCAAGUUGUAUUUGCAUACGGGUACCCGCAUCACUUCUUUUGGAGCACAUACUACUUUUUCUGCUGGAUUUGCUAGAGAUCUUGCACUAUUCAUUGUAUUGCUUACAAAGUUCACCUGUUGCUGUUGUGACAACCAAUGACUGCGUACUUUCUUUCUCCUACUACACUCACUGCAAUGACUACAGCAACCUGGUAUUAUCUUUUCAUUUUAUGCCUAGAUCUCUUCCUUAACAUCCAUUGCCAGCCUGCAAAAUUGGUUUCUGCAGUCAUUGUUUUAUCUUCUAGCAUAUGUAAUGAGAGUUUGUGAGUCCAAUCUCAAGUGGUCUUGUUACAACCCACUAGAGAUUGAGGGAGGGUAAUAGCAUAUGUAAUGAGAGUUUGUGAGUCAUGUAUGAGUUGUGUGAGGUGAGCGUGUGAUAUGCACGUGAGAAGUCUAUGAGCGAAUAGAGUGUCGAGAGAAGAAUGUUCUUUUUAUACUCAAGUCCGUCCUGUAUUGAAUCCAUCUUUCUUAUUAUUCAAUUGAAUACAAACCGUAUUGCAGACUAUUAUUCAAUUGAAUACAAACCGUAUGUAGAUUUGAGAAUCUACAUCUCUGCAAUACAGUUUGUAGUAGGUAUGAGAUGGAUAGGUUCAUCUAUUUCUAAAACCUCAUGUUCUUCCUAUUGGUUUAUUUAAUAUGCAAUUUGAGGAUCUUUUAGAAAUUUUCUUUCGUAUUUUUUAUUUAUCACCUAGUAUUAUAUAUUCUUUGUAUUCUUGUUAAUAACGAAGUUUUUAUGCUGAUUGUUCUUAUUUUCUUUCUGCUCGUUUAAAGGUAACUCUGCUUUUGGAUUUCAGGUACCAUCUAAAUCAUCUAAACCAACGAUAUUUGAAUCGCCUUCUCCUUCAACAUCGUUAUUUGCAUCGCCUUCUUCUCCAUAUUCGUUAUUUCCAUUGCCACCUCCUCCAAAUUCGUUACUUGGAUCAGCAUCGUUAUUUGGAUCGCCUUCUCCUUCAACAUCGUUAUCUGGAUCGCCUAAUGCUCCAAUAUCGAUAUUUGGAUCGCCUUCUCCUCCAACCACUGGCUUAUUUUCUCUGAGGUUCCUUCCCAAUAACUUUGUCUCUCAUCAUCCCGUUCAUCUCGUAAUGAUUUGUGCAGCAGAACAAUGAAUAACACCCCAACAGAAGAGGCUACACACCCAUUAUCGAGGGAAGACGGCAAAAAAAGUGGACUAUGCUCAAGAAUUUAAAAAAAUGUUCCAAGAAGUUGAGUUAGAAAGGAAACGUCGUGAAGGAAAGCAGCUUGAUACUUGUUUCAGUACACACUUCCCAGAACCGCAAGACAAGGAAUACGACAAACAAUUGGACAAGAAGAAGGUGCAAGAUUUACGGAAGGCAGUCGAAGAGGAACUUCGUGCGUCAGUGAAGCAUGUAGCAUUCUUGACUUCCAUGUUAGCGAAACUAGACGGUCUUUAUAUAUGAACAAUGCCUACUACUGCUACGGAUAUUGACGAGAUUUUAUCAACUGAUAUGUGAUUAGUUAGGAUUGGUCUACUUUUUUUACGUCUCUUUCUCCAGAGUUUUUUUCUUCAUGUGUGUGUCACAAAAAAUGUACUGUAGUACAAAGGAUUUAAGGUUGAUUUUUCCUAAAAGAAAAUGCUUCCUAAAAA